CCUACGGGGAGCAGCAGUCGAGAAUCAUUCACAAUGGGGGAAACCCUGAUGGUGCGACGCCGCGUGGGGGAAUGAAGGUCUUCGGAUUGUAAACCCCUGUCAUGUGGGAGCAAAUUAAAAAGAUAGUACCACAAGAGGAAGAGACGGCUAACUCGGUGCCAGCAGCCGCGGUAAUACGGAGGUCUCAAGCUUUGUUCGGAAUCACUGGGCGUAAGGCGUGCGUAGGCUGUUUCGUAAGUCGUGUGUGAAAGGCGCGGGCUCAACCCGCGGACGGCACAUGAUACUGCGAGACUAGAGUAAUGGAGGGGGAACCGGAAUUCUCGGUGUAGCAGUGAAAUGCGUAGAUAUCGAGAGGAACACUCGUGGCGAAGGCGGGUUCCUGGACAUUAACUGACGCUGAGGCACGAAGGCCAGGGGAGCGAAAGGGAUUAGAUACCCGGGUAGUC
rnacentral:rRNA from 1 species